AGUCAAGUAAUUAAGUGCAUGUGGUGGAUGCCUUGGCAGUCAGAGGCGAUGAAAGACGUGAUAGCCUGCGAAAAGCUCCGGGGAGGCGGCAAAUAUCCUUUGAUCCGGAGAUGUCUGAAUGGGGGAACCCACCUACUUUAAGGUAGGUAUUGCAACAUGAAUACAUAGUGUUGCAAGGCGAACGAGGGGAAGUGAAACAUCUCAGUACCCUUAGGAAAAGAAAUCAAUUGAGAUUCCCUCAGUAGCGGCGAGCGAACGGGGAUCAGCCCAUUAAGUUAUGUGUGUUUUAGUGGAACGCUCUGGGAAGUGCGAACGUAGAGGGUGAUAUUCCCGUACACGAAAGGGCACACAUAAUGAUGACGAGUAGGGCGAGGCACGUGAAACCUUGUCUGAAUAUGGGGGGACCAUCCUCCAAGGCUAAAUACUCCUGACUGACCGAUAGUGAACCAGUACCGUGAGGGAAAGGCGAAAAGAACCCCUGUGAGGGGAGUGAAAUAGAUCCUGAAACCGCAUGCAUACAAGCAGUGGGAGCACCUUCGUGGUGUGACUGCGUACCUUUUGUAUAAUGGGUCAGCGACUUAUAUUCAGUAGCGAGGUUAACCGUAUAGGGGAGCCGUAGAGAAAUCGAGUCUUAAUAGGGCGUUUAGUUGCUGGGUAUAGACCCGAAACCAGGCGAUCUAUCCAUGAGCAGGUUGAAGGUUGGGUAACACUAACUGGAGGACCGAACCCACUGUCGUUGAAAAGCCAGGGGAUGACUUGUGGAUAGGGGUGAAAGGCUAAUCAAGCCUGGUGAUAGCUGGUUCUCCCCGAAAGCUAUUUAGGUAGCGCCUCGGACGAAUACCAUAGGGGGUAGAGCACUGUUUCGGCUAGGGGGUCAUCCCGACUUACCAAACCGAUGCAAACUCCGAAUACCUAUGAGUACUAUCCGGGAGACAGACUGCGGGUGCUAACGUCCGUAGUCAAGAGGAAAACAAUCCAGACCGCCAGCUAAGGCCCCAAAAUCAUAGUUAAGUGGGAAACGAUGUGGGAAGGCAUAGACAGCUAGGAGGUUGGCUUAGAAGCAGCCACCCUUUAAGGAAAGCGUAAUAGCUCACUAGUCGAGUCGGCCUGCGCGGAAGAUGUAACGGGGCUAAAACUAUGUGCCGAAGCUGCGGAUGUAUACUUUGUAUACGUGGUAGGGGAGCGUUCUGUAAGCCGAUGAAGGUGUGUUGAGAAGCAUGCUGGAGGUAUCAGAAGUGCGAAUGCUGACGUGAGUAACGACAAAACGGGUGAAAAACCCGUUCGCCGAAAGACCAAGGGUUCCAGUCCAACGUUAAUCGGGGCUGGGUGAGUCGACCCCUAAGGCGAGGCCGAAAGGCGUAGUCGAUGGGAAAAUGGUUAAUAUUCCAUUACUUCUGUGUAAUGCGAUGAGAGGACGGAGAAGGCUAAAUCAGCCUGGCGUUGGUUGUCCAGGUGAAAGGAUGUAGGCAUGUAUCUUAGGCAAAUCCGGGGUACUCUAUGCUGAGAUCUGAUAGCAAGCUGUACUUGUACAGCGAAGUGGUUGAUGCCAUGCUUCCAGGAAAAGUCUCUAAGCUUCAGUUACACAGGAAUCGUACCCGAAACCGACACAGGUGGUCAGGUCGAGUAGACCAAGGCGCUUGAGAGAACUCUGCUGAAGGAACUAGGCAAAAUGGUACCGUAACUUCGGGAGAAGGUACGCUGUUGUUGGUGAUGGAACUCGCUUCCUGAGCUGACGACAGCCGCAGAAACCAGGCCGCUGCAACUGUUUAUUAAAAACAUAGCACUCUGCAAACACGAAAGUGGACGUAUAGGGUGUGAUGCCUGCCCGGUGCUGGAAGGUUAAUUGAUGGGGUUAGCGUAAGCGAAGCUCUUGAUCGAAGCCCCAGUAAACGGCGGCCGUAACUAUAACGGUCCUAAGGUAGCGAAAUUCCUUGUCGGGUAAGUUCCGACCUGCACGAAUGGCAUAAUGAUGGCGGCGCUGUCUCCAGCAGAGGCUCAGUGAAAUCGAAAUCGCUGUGAAGAUGCAGUGUACCCGCGGCUAGACGGAAAGACCCCGUGAACCUUUACUGCAGCUUGACACUGAACUUUGACCUUACUUGUGUAGGAUAGGUGGGAGGCUUUGAAGCUGGAACGCUAGUUCCAGUGGAGCCGUCCUUGAAAUACCACCCUGGUAAUGUUGAGGUUCUAACUCUGUCCCGUGAUCCGGGACGAGGACCGUGUCUGGUGGGUAGUUUGACUGGGGCGGUCUCCUCCUAAAGAGUAACGGAGGAGUACGAAGGUGCGCUCAGCGUGGUCGGAAAUCACGCGUAGAGUAUAAAGGCAAAAGCGCGCUUAACUGCGAGACCCACAAGUCGAGCAGGUACGAAAGUAGGUCUUAGUGAUCCGGUGGUUCUGUAUGGAAGGGCCAUCGCUCAACGGAUAAAAGGUACUCUGGGGAUAACAGGCUGAUACCGCCCAAGAGUUCAUAUCGACGGCGGUGUUUGGCACCUCGAUGUCGGCUCAUCUCAUCCUGGGGCUGAAGCAGGUCCCAAGGGUAUGGCUGUUCGCCAUUUAAAGAGGUACGCGAGCUGGGUUUAGAACGUCGUGAGACAGUUCGGUCCCUAUCUACCGUGGGCGCUGGAAAUUUGAGAGGAUCUGCUCCUAGUACGAGAGGACCAGAGUGGACGAACCUCUGGUGUACCGGUUGUGACGCCAGUCGCAUCGCCGGGUAGCUAUGUUCGGAAGGGAUAACCGCUGAAAGCAUCUAAGCGGGAAGCCUACCUCAAGAUAAGAUUUCCCUAGGACUUUAUGUCCUCUAAAGAGCCGUUCGAGACUAGGACGUUGAUAGGUUGGAUGUGGAAGCAUAGUGAUAUGUGAAGCUGACCAAUACUAAUUGCUCGUGAGGCUUGACUAU
rnacentral:rRNA from 1 species